AUUGAACGCUGGCGGCAGGCCUAACACAUGCAAGUCGAACGGCAGCGGGGGAUAGCUUGCUAUCCUGCCGGCGAGUGGCGGACGGGUGAGUAAUGCAUGGGGAGCUGCCCAAUCGAGGGGGAUAACAACUGGAAACGGUUGCUAAUACCGCAUACGCCCUGCGGGGGAAGGGUGGGGACCUUCGGGCCUACCGCGAUUGGAUGCACCCAUGUGGGAUUAGCUAGUUGGUGAGGUAACGGCUCACCAAGGCGACGAUCUCUAGCUGGUCUGAGAGGAUGACCAGCCACACUGGAACUGAGACACGGUCCAGACUCCUACGGGAGGCAGCAGUGGGGAAUAUUGCACAAUGGGGGAAACCCUGAUGCAGCCAUGCCGCGUGUGUGAAGAAGGCCUUCGGGUUGUAAAGCACUUUCAGUGGGGAGGAAGGGCUGAUGACUAAUAUUCAUCAGCAUUGACGUUACCCACAGAAGAAGCACCGGCUAACUCCGUGCCAGCAGCCGCGGUAA
rnacentral:rRNA from 1 species